CGUGCUAUACUGCAGUCGAACGCACUCUCGUUUAGAUUGAAGGAGCUUGCUCCUGAUUGAUAAACAUUUGAGUGAGUGGCGGACGGGUGAGUAACACGUGGGUAACCUGCCCUAAAGUGGGGGAUAACAUUUGGAAACAGAUGCUAAUACCGCAUAAAACCUAACACCGCAUGGUGUAGGGUUGAAAGAUGGUUUCGGCUAUCACUUUAGGAUGGACCCGCGGUGCAUUAGUUAGUUGGUGAGGUAAAGGCUCACCAAGACCGUGAUGCAUAGCCGACCUGAGAGGGUAAUCGGCCACACUGGGACUGAGACACGGCCCAGACUCCUACGGGAGGCAGCAGUAGGGAAUCUUCCACAAUGGACGAAAGUCUGAUGGAGCAACGCCGCGUGAGUGAAGAAGGUUUUCGGAUCGUAAAACUCUGUUGUUGGAGAAGAAUGUAUCUGAUAGUAACUGAUCAGGUAGUGACGGUAUCCAACCAGAAAGCCACGGCUAACUACGUGCCAGCAGCCGCGGUAAUACGUAGGUGGCAAGCGUUGUCCGGAUUUAUUGGGCGUAAAGCGAGCGCAGGCGGUUUCUUAAGUCUGAUGUGAAAGCCUUCGGCUCAACCGAAGAAGUGCAUCGGAACUGGGAAACUUGAGUGCAGAAGAGGACAGUGGAACUCCAUGUGUAGCGGUGAAAUGCGUAGAUAUAUGGAAGAACACCAGUGGCGAAGGCGGCUGUCUGGUCUGUAACUGACGCUGAGCUCGAAAGCAUGGGUAGCAAACAGGAUUAGAUACCCUGGUAGUCCAUGCCGUAAACGAUGAGUGCUAGU
rnacentral:rRNA from 2 species